UAAAUUUCAGGACUACUUCUGAACUAGAGAGCUUCAACAAUCAUCUUUUGAUGUAUGCUCCAAAGCGAAAUGCUUUCAGCUAUGCUGUUUAUAGAUGCAGGUGUCAGUUAGCAGCAAUAGAUUAUUCAAAACACUUGAAUCGUCCUGUUUUGUUGAACAAAGAAGGAAAUUAGAGGGGAAAGAGUGCACUCAAAAGCUGCUGGUAAUUGGAGCACAAGACCUAUGAACAAACCCAAGGAGUAUACAUACAUAACC